rnacentral:rRNA from 1 species
UACGUAGGGUGCAAGCGUUGUCCGGAUUUAUUGGGCGUAAAGAGCGUGUAGGCGGCCAGGUAGGUCUGCUGUGAAAACUCGAGGCUCAACCUCGAGACGCCGAUGGAAACCAUCUGACUAGAGUCCGGAAGAGGAGAGUGGAAUUCCUGGUGUAGCGGUGAAAUGCGCAGAUAUCAGGAAGAACACCCGUGGCGAAGGCGGCUCUCUGGGACGGUACUGACGCUGAGACGCGAAAGCGUGGGGAGCGAACAGG